CCCAGGUGGCAGCACAGGACAGGGGAAUGUGGGGACAUAAAUGCUGCACACUGGGCCAGGACAGGGGGUCACCUCUGUAAGGCCCCCACCUGAGGCCCCCUAAACUCUACAGAAGACAGCGUGACCCCCAAGGGCUUUGAGAUCCCGUCUGCACCUGAGCCUGCGCAGGAGGGGCGUCUCUGUCCACCUUUUGUGCUGGAGGGAAUGGUGUGCGGUGCCACCACGAGCAAGGGCAGGAACGGAACCAGAGCCCAGAGCCCUGCUCCUCCCCUGGGCACUGCUCAGAGCCUCUCAAGAAACAGACUCAGAAGGCCCUCCUGCCCCGGGAGGACAGCAGGCCUCAGGCCUCAUCCUGUGGACCAGACAUGACCACUGGCACACAGGCCAGCCGGCUGAAGGCCACAGGGUGGGUCUCCCCUCCGGAGCUACAGAGGACAAGCCUGGCCGUCCUGGCCCAGCCCGCGGCUCCAUGCCUUUGACCCAGGAGAAGCACUCUCUGGCUUGGAUCUCUGAUCAGCUCCGUGGACCCUGGAAUCACCUCCCACAUGCUUCUGCCCUUGCCUGAGCUCCCAGGGCCCUAACCAGGCCGUACGUGGGAAGGGGGCUGUGGAGGAGAACAGGCCCUCUGAGUGUCCCUGCCUGGGGACUUGGCCAGGACCACUGAAGCAGGUGAGAUGGAAUCAGGCCCAGGUCGGGCCCUUGCCUAUGAGAAAGUCCUCUGUGCUCAGGUGCCCUGUGGCCUGGGCAGCUGGGAGAGGGGUGGGGCAGGGGGGAAAAAGCCCCCACCUUGGCCCCAGGCAAAGUGUCGUUGCCACUGCAGGCCCUGGAGAGGGUGUGGACAGGAGCUAGGAAUGCCACUUACAACCCCACUGACGACAAGAACACUGACUCUCAGUGGAACGGGCUUGCUGAGGCUGCAGAGGGAGUACCUGGAGCAGGGGCCAGUAUGGUCCCCACGGAGCCCAUGGGCCUCUGGCUCCAGGACAUCAUGGGGCUGCUGGGGCAGGGAGCACCCAUAACUCUAGCUGGCAGGACCUGAGCCCUGGCACCAAAGGCAUGCCCAGCAGGGGAUACUGUGACCCUCGACAGGAACGACUCCCUGGCCCCGUGCCCAAGAAGCAGUGGGCAUCACUGUCCUUGUUGUCCUGGCCACCCUAUCCCUGACCCUCACUGGUGCAGGCCCUUUGGCUGGGAACUGCCCCCAACCCAGCUCCCAGGACGCUCAGAGCACCCACAGCCCACCAGGACCCAGAGUUCCAAAAGACAAGAGGGCCUGGCUCAGGUAGAAGGUGGCCAGCAGCCGGGAAAGACCUGAAGCCACCCUUCAGACCGCAGGCUCCGCUGGGGCAGGGCGGUCCCCGCGGGCCCACUCCCUGGGAGAGAAACCUGGAGGCAGGGCCCCUGGCUGGGCCGCUCGGCUCACCCAGGACCCCUCUGUGCACAGUUGUUCAGGCCAGGGACCCUCGAGGGCUUUGGCUGCUCUUGCUCAUCCCAGGGGACCCCCCCCCAAGCCCCAGCAGCUGCCCACCAGUUACCCCAAGCCCUGGCCAGGCCAGCUCCCCAUGUGACCAGGGCCGUGACAGCCCCACCUCCCUUCGCCACUGCCCUGCGCCGACCACCUCACUGGGCACCGCUGUGGGGAGGGAUGCUCAGCAGGGGACAGCCUGGGCCAAAGCGGGUCCGAGCCUGCCUCCCGGAGGCCAGUGAGGGGCCAGGACACACCAGAACACCCGACUUCACAUGUGGGCUGUGGUCCCCUUCUUUUGUAGCAAGUGCCCCCUCCUCUGCCAGGGUUGGGCCCCCACCACCUUUCUGCCACUCUGCCCUUCUCCCGCCCCUCCAGGCCCCCACCUGUUCCCUGUCUGGUUAGAGGGAAGGGGUGCCCUGAUUCACACUGGAGAGGGAAGGGCUGACAGUCGCUGCCGCCCUGCCUGGAGGAGGAGGGACUGCAAUUUUUCAAUCUCUUCCAGGAGGAGGGGUCCCUGAGACGGGGGAGCCAAGUGCCCCCUCUGAAAUCUUACCCUGCAACCUGGAUUCCCUCGGGCCUUGAAGGCUUCUCAAACUGCCAGGGCCUUCGGGGAGGAGGGCCACCUGUCCUCCAGGGCCAUGGUCCCACCUCUGAGAACUCAGUCUGACGUCCGUCUCCCAGAACCCUGACAGGCAGGCCUGUGCCACUCCUCUCCCCCAGCCUGGCAGCCAGGACAGGGCCUGGCGUCCACCUGUGGCCUUGUCUGGCCCACAGUACCCUCCUGAUGCUGCAGGUCAGGCCAGGCCUGCGGUCCCACAGGGCAUGAGGCCCCUGCACCCCCACUCCCUGCCCUUCCUCUCCAGAUUCCCAAAAAGCCCGAGCGGGCGGAGUGGUGUGUGCAUUUAUAUCUGAUGUCAACAAGCCCUUCACGAGGGGCCCUGGUGCUGAGCUAAGGCUGCUUAUCCCCUAGUACCCACGACUCGGCUCCCAGGCUGCCAGGCAGGGGUGUGGGGCGCCAAGCGCGGGGCUGAGUGUCCUCC
rnacentral:lncRNA from 1 species